rnacentral:lncRNA from 12 species
GGGAUCUGAUGCCACACCAGAAUGAAGCUGAGUGAUCUCCAAAAUGCUGCUCCCAUGGGAAGGAAGACCAGGAAACAAAGGAGUAUUAGCAACCAGGUGGCUGUUUCUUACUGUGAGCAGCAACAUGUAAGUUCAGGGAUGCAAUUUCAUUGCAUGUUUUGUGCCAUUGAGCUGGAAAAUCUCUGACAUUCAGUUCUAGC